GGGAGCAUAGGCGAAUUGGUAUAGCCAGCUGGUUUAGGUCCAGCCGUCGUAAGGCACUGUGGGUUCGAGUCCCUCUGCUCCUACCA
rnacentral:tRNA from 1 species